GAAGCUUGUGAAACUUCAGGAAACAACAAUCGGUAAUAAAACCAGAAAAAUGUCGAAAAUAAUUUUAUUAUUAUCAAUUUUCGUAUUGGUUGUUAUCUAUCCUGGUGUAUAUGCAUCAUGUCCUGGCGGUUGGUGCCAUCCAUCACAAGGUUAUGGCUGUUGUGAAGGAAAUCAAUGCUCUACAUAUUGGUUUCAAGGUACAUGCGUAACCAAUUUGGAAUACGCUAUCAUGCACACUCCGGGAAAAUGAUUAUAAUAAUCCAGUGAAGAUUUAUGAAUUUACACGGAAAAAAAAAAUCUGAGCAUCGAUUGGCCUUGGUCAGGAAUCAAAAUCAAGAUUUAAAUAAGUUUUGACUCAUAUAACAAACAAUAAAAUAAGAAAUGUCCGACAAAAAUAUUAAAAACUAUGUUUUUUCGAUUGUUUUGUUGAUAAUAUGAUUUAAACUAACUACUAAGUUCGACGACAUUAUAUGUAGCUCCGUGUAUUGUAUCAUUCAAUAAA